rnacentral:rRNA from 1 species
UACAGAGGGUGCAAGCGUUAAUCGGAAUUACUGGGCGAAAGCGUGCGUAGGUGGUAAUUUAAGUGAGAUGUGAAAUACCUGGGCUCAACCUAGGUGCUGCAUCUCAUACUGAGUUGCUAGAGUAGGGUAGAGGGGAGUGGAAUUUCCGGUGUAGCGGUGAAAUGCGUAGAUAUCGGAAAAGAACACCAGUGGCGAAGGCGGCUCCCUGGACCCAUACUGACACUGAGGCACGAAAGCGUGGGGAGCAAACAGG